AUGUGUUCUGCACACUGAAGGAAGGUAUGUAAAUGAAUGGUUCAUGCUUGUAAUCGUUAGGCAUAUAAUUUGAACUGUGUAAUGGGAAAGGCAUAUUAUUAUCAUUCUUUAAAAGGCUUUGAAAAGUAUACUGCACGAGAGCAUUUUUCAGUAAAUGUCAGAAUUAAGACAAAAUGAACUUAACCAUUUUCUGUAGAUAUUUAGUUUUCUCAUAAAAGUCUUGUUCAGUUCUUAUGACAUAUGAGAUCAAGACGUUUAGAUCCUUGUAAAGUAAACUAAAACUCAGUGAUACGGGAUUUUGGCAAUUUAAACAAAUCUUAAAUUUCAAUUACAAAGAAAAUAAACUACAUAAAUAUUUGUACUAAAGGAAUGUUUUCCUUUUUAAGUAACUGUUGUGUGUUAAUGUUCAUUGAUUUAGAUGUAUCUAAUCAAAGUGGUGCUACUAUCUUACCAUUUGUUUUCAAGCUAAAUUGUCUAAAUUUAUAGAGAAGCAUGGACAUAAAAAACAGACCAAAAAUAGCCCACCUUUAUUCAUAUAUCAGUUAUUCAGUCCAGUACCCUUGAAAUACUUUUCAUAUGAUUAAGACCCCAACCAUUUAGAUAUUGCUUUAUUUUUGCUGUGUACAUUUUGAUAUUUCUUGACAGUUAAAAAUAACAGAUAACCAUUUACUCGUAUUUCUUUUCACAUAGCUCUAACUUACUUGGAGCCACAAAGAUGAUAAAUCCUAAAUGAGCUGACUACUAAGUGGAUGGUUUCAGAAUAUCUAGGGUUUAGAGUAGGUAUUAUAUAUGCAUGCUUUGUUUUAUGAAGGCUUUCUUGGGAGUGCGGAAGGAAAUAAAUUUUUUGUCAAAACUUCUUGUUAAAACAGAAGAAUCAGCUGGCUUCACAAGCUGCCUUUUGAACUAGAUGGCUUACGGGUAACUAUAUAGGUCUCAUAAGCUUUGAGAAGUCUUUGAAACUGCUUCUGCUUUCAAAUAGCAUUUAAAUGCUCAUUCAGGGGAGGCUGGAUGUUUUUUUCUUAAGAUUUUCUUGGUUCCUGAUUUUAUGAGCUGUGACGUGAAGAUAAGAACUAUUCAGUCUGUUAGACCAUAACCUGCCAUAUGUAUGUUUGUACCUUCCUUGAAUUUUAAGUAUAUUUUGGUUAAGGGGACCAAACUAAAAGCAGCUAAGAGUUAAGAGUGCUGUACUCUAAACUGACAAAUAUAUCUAACUUACUUUCUUCCUUUUUUUCUCCCUCUAUUCUUCCUUCCUUUGAUAUUGAUUGAGCAGCUACUACAUGCCAGGCACUUUGCAAGGUGCUACUGAAACAAAGGAAUAGGUUCUACUAUGAUCAACUAUUUUAUGUUGUUAUGGACUGGAUUUUGUACCCUCAAAUUCAUACAUUGAAGGCCUAAUCCCCAUUAUGACUGUAUUUGGAAAUAAGACCUUAAGGAGAUAAAGUAAAGUGAGAUUAUAAGAGCACUAAUCCAAUAUGACUGGUGUCCUUAUAAGAAGAGAGAGACACCAGGGAUGUGCAUGCACAGAGCAAAUGUCAUGUAAGGCCACAGGGAGGAGGUGGCUGUCUGCAAACUAGGGAAAGUGGGUUCAGUGGAAACCAAACCUUCUGACACCUUGAUAAUGGACUGCCAUCCUCCCAAACUAUGAGAAAAUAAAUUACUGUUGUUUAAACCA